UGGGGAAUAUUGCACAAUGGGCGCAAGCCUGAUGCUGCAACGCCGCGUGAACGAUGAAUGUCUUCGUAUCGUAAAGUUCUGUUGCAGGGGAAGAUAAUGACGGUACCCUGUGAGGAAGCCCCGGCUAACUACGUUCCAGCAGCCGCGGUAAUACGGAAGGUCCGGGCGUUAUCCGGAUUUAUUGGGUUUAAAGGGAGCGUAGGCGGAUUGUUAAGUCAGCGGUUAAAGGGUGUGGCUCAACCAUGCAUUUCCGUUGAAACUGGCGAUCUUGAGUGCAGACAGGGAUGCCGGAAUUCGUGGUGUAGCGGUGAAAUGCUUAGAUAUCACGAAGAACUCCGAUCGCGAAGGCAGGUGUCUGGGCUGCAACUGACGCUGAGGCUCGAAAGUGUGGGUAUCAAACAGG
rnacentral:rRNA from 1 species